rnacentral:rRNA from 1 species
UACGUAGGGUGCAAGCGUUGUCCGGAAUUAUUGGGCAUAAAGAGCUCGUAGGCGGUUUGUUGCGUCGGCUGUGAAAUCCCGAGGCUCAACCUCGGGUCUGCAGUCGAUACGAGCAAACUAGAGUGUUGCAGGGGAGACUGGAAUUCCUGGUGUAGCGGUGAAAUGCGCAGAUAUCAGGAGGAACACCGGUGGCGAAGGCGGGUCUCUGGGCAACAACUGACGCUGAGGAGCGAAAGCGUGGGGAGCGAACAGG